rnacentral:tRNA from 1 species
AAGAUUUUAAGUUAAUAAAACUAAUAGCCUUCAAAGCUAUCUAUGAAUCAAAUUCAAAUCUUG